GAUGAACGCUGGCGGCGUGCCUAAUACAUGCAAGUCGAGCGAACAGACGAGGAGCUUGCUCCUCUGACGUUAGCGGCGGACGGGUGAGUAACACGUGGAUAACCUACCUAUAAGACUGGGAUAACUUCGGGAAACCGGAGCUAAUACCGGAUAAUAUAUUGAACCGCAUGGUUCAAUAGUGAAAGACGGUUUUGCUGUCACUUAUAGAUGGAUCCGCGCCGCAUUAGCUAGUUGGUAAGGUAACGGCUUACCAAGGCAACGAUGCGUAGCCGACCUGAGAGGGUGAUCGGCCACACUGGAACUGAGACACGGUCCAGACUCCUACGGGAGGCAGCAGUAGGGAAUCUGCCGCAAUGGGCGAAAGCUUGACGGAGCAACGCCGCGUGAGAGAUGAAGGUCUUCGGAUCGUAAAAAUCUGUUAUUAGGGAAGAACAAAUGUGUAAUUAACUAUGCACGUCUUGACGGUACCUAAUCAGAAAGCCACGGCUAACUACGUG
rnacentral:rRNA from 1 species